UCACGAUAGAAAGCGCACAUGAUGGAUGCCUUGGCAUUGAGAGGCGAUGAAGGACGCGAGAACCUGCGAUAAGCCGAGAGGAGCCGGUAACUAGGCUGUGAUCCUCGGAUCUCCGAAUGGGGCAACCCCACCGAAUGGUGACUCCGGUCUGAAUGCAUAGGACCGGCAGAGCGAACGCAGCGAACUGAAACAUCUCAGUAGCUGUAGGAAAGGAAAGCAACAGCGACUCCGCAAGUAGCGCCGAGCGAACGCGGACCUAAGCGGGAAACGUACGAACGACCUGGAAAGGUCGACCAAAGAAGGUGAUAGUCCUGUACGACGGGAACCGUGAAUGGCUUCAAGUAGAGUCAGGCUCGAGAAACCUGGCUUGAACAUGGGGGGACCACCCUCCAAGCCUGAGUACUCCUCAAUGACCGAUAGUGAACCAGUAAGGCGACUGAACGGUGAAAAGCACCCCGACAAGGGGAGUGAAAUAGCACCUGAAAUCAUGUGCUUACACAGCGGUCACGGCCCGCAAGGGUUGUGGCGUGCCUUUUGCAUAAUGAUCUGGCGAGUUACUGUCUGCGGCAAGGGUAAGCCUUAUCCAGGCGCACCCGAAGCGAAAGCGAGUCUUAAAAGGGCGUCAAGUUGCAGGCGGUAGGCGCGAAACCGGUUGAUCUACCCAUGGGCAGGCUGAAGAGAGGGUAAAACCUCUUGGAGGGCCGAAGCCGUGAACGUUGAAAAGUUCUGGCAUGACCUGUGGGGAGGGCUUAAAGUGCAAUCAUAACCGGAGAUAUCUCGUUCUCUCCGAAAUAGUUUUUGGACUAGCCUCAGCUUGUCAGUGCAUGGGGGUAGAGCUACUGAAUGGGGUCUGGGGGCCUACCCGGCUACCCGCCCCAAUCAAACUCCGAAUACCGUGCACGCAGCGCUGGGAGUAAGACUACGAGGGAUAAUCUUCGUGGUCAAAAGGGAAACAACCCGGACCAUCGGCUAAGGUCCCUAAGUCAUGCUCAGUUGAAAAGGUAGUCAGAAUGCUGUGACAGCCAGGAUGUUGGCUUAGAAGCAGCCACCAUUUAAAAAGUGCGUAACAGCUUACUGGUCGAGGAUUCUGGCGCCGAUAAUUAUCGGGGAUAAGCAUGACACCGAAGCCGUGGGACUCGUAUGAGUCGGUAGGAGAGCGUUGCUGUCAGCGUCGAAGUUUUCCCGUAAGGGUUGAUGGAGCGGCAGCAAGUGAAUAUGCCAGAUUGAGUAACGAUUAAUGCAGUGAGAAUCUGCAUCCCCGUAUGCCCAAGGUUUCCUGGGGAAGGUAAUUCCGCCCAGGGUUAGUCGGAGCCUAAGGCAAGGCCGAAAGGCGUAGUCGAUGGACAGCUGGUUAAUAUUCCAGCACCCUCGCGUAGGUUGAUGGCAGGUGACGGAUUUCCAUAUCUCAACGGGACAGUGAAGCGUCCAGGCCGUAUGGCCGGUGUUGGGUGAGGAAGUCUCAAGAAAAGCCCUGCCGGACGUUUGCGAGGUCCGUACCAAAACUGACACAGGUGGGCGUGGCGAAUAGCCUCAGGGGCUCGAGAAAACGGUCCUGAAGGAACUAGGCAAUUUGACCCCGUAAGUUCGCGAUAAGGGGGCCCUACUCGCAAGAGAGGGCGCAGAGAAAAGGCUCUGGGAACUGUUUAUCAAAAACACAGCACUGUGCUAACUCGCAAGAGGAUGUAUACAGUGUGACGCUUGCCCGGUGCCGGAACGUCAAGGGAGCUGGUUAGCGCAAGCGAAGCUAGCGACCGAAGCGCCGGUAAACGGCGGCCGUAACUCUGACGGUCCUAAGGUAGCGAAGUUCCUUGUCGGGUAAGUUCCGACGCGCAUGAAUAGCGUAAUCACUGGAGCACUGUCUCCAGGACCGACUCGGUGAAAUAGUAGUGGCGGUGAAGAUGCCGCCUACCCGCAGCAAGACGGAAAGACCCCGUGGACCUUUACUGUACGCUUGCAGUGAUCAUGGAUUUGUUCUGCGUAGCAUAGGUGGGAGCCUGCGAAGUUCGGCUUUCGGGCCGGAUGGAGGCUAAGGUGAAAUACCACCCUGAACGAAUUCGUGGUCUAACCCCGAUUCCCAUGAAACUGGGCGGGGAACACUGCAUGCCGGGCAGUUUGACUGGGGCGGUCUCCUCCCAAAAAGUAACGGAGGAGUGCAAAGGUUGGCUCAGCGCGGUUGGAAACCGCGCCAAGAGUGCAAGAGCAUAAGCCAGCUUUAGUGCAAGCCAGACAGGGCAAGCACUCUCGAAAGAGGGCUCUAGUGAUCCGGCGAUCCCGUGUGGAAGGGUCGUCGCUCAACGGAUAAAAGGUACCCCGGGGAUAACAGGCUGAUCGCUCCCGAGCGUCCAUAGCGGCGGAGCGGUUUGGCACCUCGAUGUCGGCUCAUCACAUCCUGGGGCUGAAGGCGGUCCCAAGGGUUGGGCUGUUCGCCCAUUAAAGUGGUACGCGAGCUGGGUUCAGACCGGCGUGAGCCAGGUCGGUCCCUAUCUGUUGUGGGCGCAGGAAUGUUGAGAGGAGACAAUCUUAGUACGAGAGGAUUGGAUUGGACGUACCCCUGGUGUGCCAGUUGCACCGCUCGGUGCACAGCUGGGUAGCUACGUACGGCAGGGAUAACCGCUGAAAGCAUCUAAGCGGGAAGCCCACCUCAAGAUAAGCAUUCCAUGUCGCAAGACGAAAGACCCCCGGUAGACCACCGGGUUGAUAGGACGCGUGUGUAAGCGGAGAGAUCCGUUUAGCUAAGCGUUACUAACGGUCGACGUCUUGGCCUU
rnacentral:rRNA from 1 species